CAUGAUUUAGGUAUUUUUAUCUUUGGGACAAAUUUUGGAUUCAAUUGGCGAUUGUUUUUGGAGGUAUUCACUUUACAUUGUGUUCAAGAUGGUUACUUCCGCCCACUCUGAAGAGUCUCGGCGUCUGAUUGGUCCAAUUUUCAGUUAGGCGCUGCCUGAUUGGCCAGUGGAUGAUGUCUGAUCCUAACAGAGGGCUAAAUCACUAGUUAACUAUUUUCAUCAUGGAAGUUAUACAGCUCACGUAUCACACUUAAUAUUGAAUAUAUAUAAAAAGGGUUUUCCAAAAGGACCAUUUAUAAUCGAAAUACAAAACUUCACACACGAUUUUGAGCACAACAGAGCGCUCAGUGAACAUCACUUCCGGGACCUGCAUCACCAGAGGGGGACAUCUAUCUUGGCCACAAACCAUCUUUGACAGUCUUCGACAGCAUGGUUGAAUCAGGCGCAUCAACACAUGAAAUAGACAUCGUGUCCAAAAGAAGAGCGAGACGUAAUCCUGAGGCUGAAGCCACCGAGUUUAUUUGAUCUGGAUGUGACAAGUCUUGUUUUAAGGCCCAGUGGAUCAAUGAUUGGAAAGACACCAACUGUUGAUGUUCUAUCUCAACAUUCUCCAGAUUCAUGUGAGCGAUAAACCGACUUCAUCCCUCCAACAGACACCAACUGUUGGGGUUCUAUCUCAACAUUCUCCAGAUUCAGAUGUGAGCGAUAAACCGACUUCAUCCCUCCAACAGAAACCAACUGUUGAGGUUCCAUCUCAACAUUCUCCAGAUUCAGAUGUGAGCCAUUAACUGACUUCAUCCCUCCAACAGAAACCAACUGUUGAGGUUCUAUCUCAACAUUCUCUAGAUUCAGAUGACAGCCAUAAACCGACUUCAUCCCUCCAACAGGUUAUUACAUGUCUAUUUUUACUAUAUCUGCUCUAAAUUUGACCCAACCUAUAUUUUGAAAGACAUUUAUUAAUUUUAAUCUCUCACAGAUCAGUUUAUAUGACAACAUUUUCGUAAGGGUACAUCCAUGUUAGUCAGUAGGGAGUUUGGAACUCAUGUUUAGCAAAACAGGAGAUGUUACAAGUCAACAACAUAAAUUCUACAUGUGAGCACUCGUCAUGUCCUCAUAUUGUUUGAACCAAGAAAGACCUAGGUGUGUUUCAUAUAAGGUCCUCAUAUUUUCUGAACCAGAUUAGUGUGUGUUAAAAUGUUAAUGUCAAAGCUUUAAAAUGAGUGUUUCAAUUCAGAAAAUGCAGUGCCUCUUGUUUACAGCCGGUUUCUGCAGCGCUGUUUUCAUUGAUCAAAGUAUUUUUUCGGUGGUCGUGUUUUUGGUACAUAACUUGUAAAUAGUGCGCAAAUAAUAGGCUAUGUAUAUAUAAAUACAUUCAAACCCCGUUUCCAUAUGAGUUGGGAAAUUGUGUUAGAUGUACAUAUAAACAGGAUACAAUGAUUUGCAAAGAAUUUUCAACCCCAAUUCUGUUGAAUAUGCUACAAAGACAACAUAUUUGAUGUUAAAACUGCUAAACAUUUUUUUUGCAAAGAAUUUAGGGAUUUUACCAUCUACGGUCCGUAAAAUUAUCAAAAGGUUCAGAGAAUCUGGAGA